AUUAGGAAUCUUGCGCAAUGGGGGCAACCCUGACGCAGCGACGCCGCGUGCGGGAUGACGGGCUUCGGCCUGUAAACCGCUUUUGAAGGGGAAGAACAAAUGACGGUACCCUUCGAAUAAGCCCCGGCUAACUACGUGCCAGCAGCCGCGGUAAUACGUAGGGGGCGAGCGUUGUCCGAAGUUACUGGGCGUAAAGCGCGCGUAGGCGGCUCUUUAAGUCUGGCGUGAAAGGUUCAGGGCUCAACCCGAACAGUGCGCUGGAGACUGGAGAGCUUGAGGACGGGAGAGGGAAGCGGAAUUCCGGGUGUAGCGGUGAAAUGCGUAGAUAUCCGGAGGAACACCGAUGGCGAAGGCAGCUUCCUGGCCCGUAUCUGACGCUGAGGUGCGAAAGCGUGGGGAGCGAACGG
rnacentral:rRNA from 1 species